CGGGGUGUAGCUCAGCUUGGCUAGAGCGCUGGUUUUGGGUACCAGAGGUCGCAGGUUCGAAUCCUGUCACCCCGA
rnacentral:tRNA from 1 species